AUGAGCCACUUGAGGGGAAGGUGAAAACCUUCGACAAGGUUCGAGCCGAGCGUAGCGAGUCAACGACGCGCAGCGGCGGCCCGAAGGGUGAGGAACGUAGUGACGAAUAAUCCUUCCCCCACCACCA
rnacentral:sRNA from 1 species